AACAGCCGCAGGGGACUAGGGCUGCUGAAGGCUGGAGAGACAUUUUAUAGCCAGAAGCAACGUUUUUAAAUUUAGAAAAAGAAAACUAAAGCUGUAGGAACUACUUUAAAAACUCCAGAGAAGAGGAGAAAGAGGAGAGGGAGCGGGAGAGGGAGAGGGGAAGGAACUGUCUAAGAGUCUAUUGGGCUCUUAGGAGAGAAAAGCAACUUAGUAAGGAAAAAAACAAAGAGAAAAGUCUAACUUUUAAAUAACUUCUAGGAGGAGUGUGCUAGGAUCAAAGGGUUAACUGUUCCUGUGGGGCAGGAGCCUUAGACUGAAUCACAGGCAUCAUACACCCCAAGGAGUGAAAGGUGAAAAGCUCUACUGCUCCGGGCCAGCCUUGGUGUCAUCUUGAAGACUUAAAAGCAAAUAGUGUUUGGAAAGCAACUCUUCACACAUUUCCUUAUUUGACUACAGCUUUAUAAGUUCCGUGACUAAGCCAUGGAAAGUCUGAAAACAUGCAGGGGAUCCUGAGUGUCUUCCACAGCUGACCAGCUGCUGCGAAGGAACAUCUGGAGAGAGAAACACUCUCACCCAGACAGCGAGUCACCCCUAAAAAUGUCAACUACAUUACAUCUUCAAGAGAUUCUAGACCUUGCCUCCAAAUAUGGAGUGAUUACCUAUCAACCAGAAAAAUCUCCAGAUGACCCCAGAGCCUAGACGAUUCAGAAGCAUCUGAACUGCUAAAGAGAAAAA